rnacentral:lncRNA from 1 species
CCGCACUCUUUCUCUGCUCGAGUUAACCCGGAUGGAUGGAAUUUCGUUGCAGUCUUCAUAUGCCACCAACACUUUUCACUGGCAGAGGUAAGGUAACCAUCAAUGGCUUGUCUCGGUUGGAGAAAUGGAGUGCGUGGUAUGUCUGCGAUUAUUUUCUGCAAAAUUUACUGCGAUUUACUAGUUAGAAAUCUGGAAUUGCUCUAAACAGUACAUAUUGUUCGUCUGAUAUUUGCACUGUCUGGCAACAAGUCUAUGUAUACCUAAUGUGUAUUACUGACAGUAGAUAUCAUAUAAUUGACCAUUAUUUGCAUCUUCUCCAGUACGCCGACCUUUGUCCCAUCACCUCGUGAGCAGUACUAAUUUUCUUUCUCUAGCUUAAAUAUGAACCCUUAACUUGUUAAAUGUGUGAAUUCGAGCAAUAACUGUUUGAAGCAGAAUUGUCAAUAAUAAGUUAGAUAAUAUCUGCAUUGGCAUUUAGGGUAGGACUCUUUGGUGAGCAUAAACAACAUGUUUUGGGAAUUCCCAUGUUCAACUUUAGUGGAAAUGCUUUAGAAUAAGAUGGUCUUGUGAAACUACUUUCAGUGGCUAACUUUAUCACUGUGCCGACUACAUUGACGUUGGCUUUUGCUUCUCAUGUUGAAAAUUUAGUUCAGUAAUCCUUUUGAAAGGGCUAGUUCUGUUGUUUCUGUCCUUUCUUAAGAGAGAACGUACUAAAAUAAACCAGUGUAAUAUGAUUAUGUGAAAAUUUGAUUACUCAACCUGCUUUUGAUAAUCGGAAGUUUUUGGCAUGUCAUGCUCGCAUCUUAUGGAUAUUUGUCUGUUUUGGGCAUAGAACAACAGCAGUGGAGAUAUUUAAUGUCGGAAUGCUAUAUAUCUUGUCGUAUAUAGAGGAUGUUUGUAACUCGACAACCCUUUACAGACACUUGUAUUAUUGAAGGCAUUCAUUCUCCAAACCAGAUACAUUGAUGGAACAAAAAGAGUAAGAUGCAAUUUAAAAAAAUUCUGAUCAAUACAAGUUGUGGUAUCUAAAAUAUUUCCAGCAACUGCAAAACAUUCUUCACUAAGUAACUCGAGCAUCAAACCUUGAACAAAAAGAAAAUCAACCAGGCAUUAAGGGAAACAACAAAUGAAGCCACACAUCAGUUCGUAGCUGUGGUGCAGCACAUGCAAAUGGCAAAAAGGGAUGACUUUGGCUUCUGCUUUUCUUUGCUUCUAGGAGAACUAACCGUGGUGCUGUUCUUUCGAACCGGUUCUUGUUCCUUCAAUGGCGACCACGUUCCAAUGCCGUCCUCCGUCAUUAAGCUACGAAGUGGUUUAUUGUUUCUUGCAGAGUGAUUUGGCGCUCUGAAGGCUCCUUCUGAUGGCUCCCUAGGGCUCAACAGUGGACUUUUCUCAGAUUCUUCCACAGCUUCAUCUUUGGCUUGCAUCAGGGUGAUGUUGGUCAUGGGGAUGUCCUUGACUACUUUGCUGUGCUGUUCACUAGAAUAACUUGAAGAGUUGAUGCUUUCUGUACUCAGAAGUAAUGGAGUCUCUUCACCCACAUCUGCCCCUAGAGUUGGUUUCUGAAGCAGACACUGUUCCUCACUAGAAUCAUCAGCAUUUGCAAUAACUUUCUUCUGUUCCGAUUCAGCAGCAAAGCCUACAGUCCCUGUGACUUUCUCCUGAUUGGAUUCAGAAGUAAAACAUGUGGCUUUAUCAGAUGUGCCUUGUCUCUCCUUGUUGAAUACAUUAGGGAAGAUCAAUUCUGUCGCUGAACUGCAUUCCACCAGCUUCAUGCAGGUGCUCAGAGUCUCACUGUUUUCAAACUUGACAACUUCAGGUUCUUCAAGCAGUAACUGUUGAGGCUGAUCACACUGUGAGCUGUUCAUGGUUUCUUGUGUAUCUAUAGUCUUUGCUUCAUAUGUGGAGGUGGUGGUUCCUUCAUUACUGUCUGAGCUAUCAGGUUUAAUAUCUUUCUUGACAAAAUCUUCUACUGGUUGAAGAGCAAAUGAUGUUGCAGUUAUUGGUGCAGGUAAUUCUUCUAUGAUGACUUCUUCAUGUACCUUUUCUUUAUUCAAAAUAGGAAGAGGGCCAGAUAAUAGCGGGUCUAAACCUGUAAAAUCUUCUCCAUGGACCAUAACAAGACCGACAGAGUCUUGGAUACCAUCAGAUUUCUUAUCCCCUUCAAAAUUAUCUGGUUCAUUAUUGUCUGCGACAUCUUUGUCAACAAUUCCCCCUUGCUCUUUCUCUGCUGUUUCAAUUACAUUGUGCUCCAUUGCUGCAUUUACAGAAUCUGACAUCUGUUCUGCUAUACUCAGUUCAUGUUUCUGAAAUUCUUUGCCAUUUGUUGCACUGGGAUCUGCUAAAGCUGACUGAAAUUGGGAAACAGCUUCAACAAUGUGGAGAGCACCAUAUGCACUACAUUUGGGAAAUUCUUCCUGCUGAUUUUCUAAUCCUUGGAUCUUGUCUUCUUCUAGCACUUCAUCAUUUUCAAUCACAGCAUCUACUGUUAUGGUUUUGCAGCUAUUGCUUUUGGCCAUUUCACAGAUUUCCUGCUUCUCUUCAUUCUUGGAUGUUUCUUGGUUGGUGUCAUCAUCAUGAUAAGCAGUGAUAAUUGAUUCAGUUGAUGAUGUAUCCUCUCCUUGUACCGACGAUGGUGUCCAUAGAUCCUCUACUGCCGACGCUCCAGCUUGUCUUUCUUCUAGGCUUUCAACUGUAUCUUCUCCAACUAGAUUAUCAUCCACCACUGCAGCUUCUUGACUGCAAUAUUCCUCCCCAUCUUGUGGCGCACUUUCAAUAAUUCCCUCUAACAAUGUGAGGGGAUUUGGUAUGGUACUUUCUUCACUUGUCUCCGUCGUUUUGUGUACAACUUGUUUGAAUUGCUCAUCAGAUGGUGAUGUAUCAUUGCUACUUGUCAUGUCUUCAGUUGUGGUGCCGACAGGGGCAACUUUUUCUGUACCAUCUGUGGUUGUUUCAGUUCCACUGUCCUCUUGUGAUUCAUCUCCUGUGCCAGAUCACUUGUUUUUAUUAGGAGAGUCUAUAAUGCUGAAGGAAAGCAAUGCUUAAGUACCUAUGAUUUUUAGUCGCCCAUCAUAUAUUCUGAAGUUCAAGUAUAGUUGUUCAUAGAAGCAUAACGUACCUUUUAUUAGGUGGGUAACUUGGUAGCACUAGCAUCUACUCCCUCCGUCCCAUAAUGUAAGACGUUUUUUGACACUACACUAGUGUCAAAAAGCGUCUUACAUUAUGGGACGGAGGGAGUAGCAAAUUUUCACUUUUGAAUCCCUAUCUUACUAUUUCAUACUGAAAUCACCAUUUAUUAUCACAAACACGCAUUCUUCUCAUAUUAAACCAUUCUUAAAUGACUUAUUAAAGCACAAAAUAAAACAUAGUACGAAGACAGCAAAACAAGCUAGGUAUGAGCCAUAUCAGCCAGCUGAACUAACCUUGUUCUGUAGGUAGGUUACUAUUUCCAUCAUCAUCUUGUGUUGAUGUAUGAUCCUGAAGUGAGUCCCUGUUCUUCUCAUCUAAGUCUUCAUUUCCAACAGAGGUUUUUGUUUGAUCUGAAGCCAUUUGAUCAUUUCCACCGUUAGAAAUGACAGGGUCCUUUAACACCUCUGACAUACCAUCAGAUUUCUGAUCCCCUUCAAAAUUAUCUUCUUCAUUCUUGUCUGCAACAUCCUUUUCAACAAUUCCCCCUUGCUCUUUCUCUGCUGUUUUAAUUACAUUGUGCUCCAUUGCUACACUUACAGAAUCCGACAUCCGUUCUGCUAUACUCAGUUCAUGUUUCUGAAAUUCUUUGCCACUUGCUGCACUGGGGUGUGCUAAAGCUGACUGAAAUUGGGAAACGGCUUCAACAUUAUGAAGAGCACCAUAUUUACUACAUUUGGGGAAUUCUUCCUCCUGAUUUUCCAAUCCUUGGAUCUUCUUGUCUUCUUCUAGCACUUCAGCACUUUCAACCACAGUAUCUUCUGUUAUAGUUUUACAGGUAUUGAUUUUGCCUAUCUCACAGAUUUCUUGCUUCUCUUCAUUCUGGAAUGUUUCUUGGUUGGUGUCGCCUUCUGGUCCUACAUAUGACGAAUUUUCUCUUUCUCUAGGCUCAUCGUCGACGACAACCUCCUUACUCUCGUCAUCAAGAUAACCACUGAUAAUUGAUUCAGUUGAUGAUGUAGUCUCUCCAACUAGAUUAUCACCCACCACUGUUGACACUCCGUUUUGUCCUUCUAGGUUUUCAACUGUAUCUCCUCCAACUACAUUAUCACUCGCCCCUGCAACUUCUUGAGUACAAGAUUCCUCCUUGUGUUCUGGCAGACCUUCAAUGUUUUCCUCUAACAACAUGGCGGGAUUUGCAGUGGUAUUUUCUUCAUUUUUCUCUGUAGUUUCGUGCUCAAGUUGUCUGAAUUGCUCAUCAGAUGAUGAAGUAUCCUUGUUGCUUGUUAUAUCUUCAGUUGUGGUGCCGACAUGGGCAACUGUUUCUGCAGAAUUUGUGGCUGUUUCAGUUCCAUUGUCCUCCUGUGUUUCAUCACCUGUGCCAGAUUAGUUGCUUUUAUUAGUCGAGCUUAUAGUGCUGAAGGUAAAAGCAAUUACUGCUGAGAAAUGCUUAACUGCCUAUGUUUCUAGUGGACAAUUAUACAUUCUGAAGUUCAAGUAUAGUUAUUCAUAGAAACAUAAUGUACUUCUAGGUGGGUAGCCGUGCAUCGCUCGAUGCAGAGCCAGAGGAUUUUCCCCUCUUUUCGAAAAAACAUUUGGUGGGCGGCUAGGUAGUUUUGAACUGUGGAUUUUUCUUACUACCUCAUCCUGAAAUCACCAUUAAUUUUCUCAAGCACGCGUAUUUCUCAUGCUAAACCAGUUUAAAUGGCUUAUUAAAGGACAGACCCAGUGCACAAAAGCUUAAAGCACAAAAUUGGAACUACUGUACGGAAGACAGCAAAACAAACUAGGUACGGACCGUAUAAGCCAGCUGAACUAACCUUGUUCUGUAGGUAAGUUACUGUUUCCAUCAUCAUCCUGUGUUGAUGUAUGAUCCUCAAGUGAGCCCCUGUUCUUCUCAUCGAUGUCUUCAUUUGCAGCAGAGAUUUUUCUUUGAUCUGAAGCCAUUUGAUCAUCUCCACCAUUAAAAAUGACAGGGGCCUUUAACACCUCUGACAUAUCUACAUGCUUAGUGCCAUCCUUCUCCUUAUCUAACAUAAACAGAAUAAUGAAUGGUCGAUAAUCGCAUUAGAGUGGUUACUGAACUCCAGAUUACAUUGCACUGAAUUCUAACUAGAAGUUAACUUGUAUAGAAAUUUUGCCUAUUAAAUCUCUAGAAUUAGUACCUCAUACGGGAUCACCAUGUCCAAACUUUUCGUAUUAAACCAUGAUUCACAUAAUACGCAUUACAGUACAAAAAUAAAAUUAUAGUAUGUACGAUAUCAGUCGGCUGAACUAACCUUGUUCUGUAGGUAAGUUUUUAUUCCCAUCAUCAUCUUCUGUUGAUGUGUGAUCCAGAGGUGAGACCCUAUUCUUCUCAUCUAAGCUUUCAUUUGCAGCGGACAAUUUUGUUUGAUCUGAAGCCAUUUUCUUAUCUCCACUACUAGAGAUGAAGGGGGCCUUUAAUACCUCCAGCAUAUCUACAUCCUUAGUGCCAUCCUUCUCCGUAUCUAACAUAAACAGAACAAUGAAUCAGCGACCAUAGCUUUAUAGUGGUGAGUUUUUAGUAAGAGCCAGUAUGACAUGAUUCCAUCAAAUAUUCGUUGAAUUUAUGCCUGCUAAAUAUCCAUACAGGACAAAUAUCGUGAAACAGAGGUAGUACCUUUCUCACUAUUUAUGUUGUUGAGCUCAUGUGAAUAAUCUGCGUUGGCCAUGGUUUUGUCGAAAUCCUUAGCACUCUCCUCUGAUAGUAGAAUUGCAUAAGAAGGUGGUUAGCAAAAUAUUUAGGCUCAUUCCUAGAAAGCAGACAGUAUUUAGCAACAUGCAUACCUUGUUGACCGAUAACGUUGUUGUUGCCCAUCUCAUUACCCAUUACUCAGUCCAAGCUCUUUAGGCACUAAGACCAAUGAGAACAGUCUUUAACUCAGCUCAAGCUCAAGCACAAUCUACAAUACACUUAUAGCCUAUUAUAAGCCAUGGGAAGGUGCAAGUGAGCACUACAGACCAUGAUGGUGGUGGCCACCACAAGAUUAGCUAGAAAGGGUGCAACUAGACAGCACAAUUUUCCUGUGAGCCUCCUAAUAAUUUUAAUGCAGGGAGCACAUCAUAGGGACAUGUUUUUUGGGUCAUUGUUUCCUCUUUUUAUCAUUUAAGAAGGGUCAAGGAAACUAAAGUUGGAGAUCUGGUCAGAUGGCCCAAUGAUAGUUGCAUUACAUCUUUCAUGAAUGACUGAAUUGUUUUAAGCGUACACCUGUACUGCAAUGGGGCAGGAAACCUGAAACCUUCUAUACGGAAACCAUAAUCGUUCCGUCACAUUGGGUGCUGACUUGAUGGUUCUAGGUUUUAUUUCUGUCGCAUUGGUUGCAUGAUCUACGUAACACUUAGGUUUGUUCUUAAAGAUUUCAGGUCCUGAAGUCAUUGUUGAAGACAUGGAUUGAACCGGCUUACGAAGCACGGAGAGAAGAAUUUCUUUCCAUUUUGCUAUGCAUAACAAUGCGCGCGCGCGAUUCCACGGAAACUUCCGACUUUAUUCAGGUGGAUAAAACCUCGACAUGUGGAGAGCAUGCGCGCGCGAGAUUCCACAGAAACUUCCGACUUUCUUCUUAGGAGGAUAAAACCUUGACAUGUGGAGAGCUGCCUGAUAACAAAAAUUCAGUGAAGCUAGACCUGUAUCUAAUUCUACCAGUCAAGCUUUCGGCGCAUCUUAACAUAUUCCAGUCUACUCGAGUGAGUCGUGCUCCUUGUCUCCCGGUUUUUCCAUUUUUUGAAGCGUCAUGUCAUGUGUUUUUUGGCUCUAAAGUUUGGAUACAGUUGAGUUGGAGGGGGACACGAGCCUUUGGUCUGGUGUCAUGAUGGCCUACAACUCCCUUUCUGCUGCUACCGGUUCUCCCACGGGGCCCUUCAAGUGUGUUGUUUGUUCCCUUAAACACGGGGUGGAAGUGGUUCCCACCUCACGCUGCCCUUAGAAAAUCCAUGUUUAUGAUUGGUAUCGCUGGCCGUGGAUUGUGCAGUUGUUGACUGGUUUUUGUAACUUCAAGGCUUAUAGCCCCUCUUUUCCAGUCUUCCCUUUUUCAAGAAGAGUGAAUUCCAUUUUUU